UACGAAGGGUGCAAGCGUUACUCGGAAUCACUGGGCGUAAAGCGUGCGUAGGCGGUUCGUUAAGUCUGCUGUGAAAGCCCUGGGCUCAACCUGGGAACUGCAGUGGAUACUGGCGGACUAGAGUGUGAUAGAGGAUGGUGGAAUUCCCGGUGUAGCGGUGAAAUGCGUAGAGAUCGGGAGGAACACCAGUGGCGAAGGCGGCCAUCUGAAUCAACACUGACGCUGAGGCACGAAAGCGUGGGGAGCAAACAGG
rnacentral:rRNA from 1 species